rnacentral:rRNA from 1 species
UUAGAUACCCUGGUAGUCCACGCUGUAAACGAUGUCGAUUUGGAGGUUGUGCCCUUGAGGCGUGGCUUCCGGAGCUAACGCGUUAAAUCGACCGCCUGGGGAGUACGGCCGCAAGGUUAAAACUCAAAUGAAUUGACGGGGGCCCGCACAAGCGGUGGAGCAUGUGGUUUAAUUCGAUGCAACGCGAAGAACCUUACCUACUCUUGACAUCCAGAGAACUUUCCAGAGAUGGAUUGGUGCCUUCGGGAACUCUGAGACAGGUGCUGCAUGGCUGUCGUCAGCUCGUGUUGUGAAAUGUUGGGUUAAGUCCCGCAACGAGCGCAACCCUUAUCCUUUGUUGCCAGCGGUUCGGCCGGGAACUCAAAGGAGACUGCCAGUGAUAAACUGGAGGAAGGUGGGGAUGACGUCAAGUCAUCAUGGCCCUUACGAGUAGGGCUACACACGUGCUACAAUGGCAUAUACAAAGAGAAGCGACCUCGCGAGAGCAAGCGGACCUCAUAAAGUAUGUCGUAGUCCGGAUUGGAGUCUGCAACUCGACUCCAUGAAGUCGGAAUCGCUAGUAAUCGUAGAUCAGAAUGCUACGGUGAAUACGUUCCCGGGCCUUGUACACACCGCCCGUCACACCAUGGGAGUGGGUUGCAAAAGAAGUAGGUAGCUUAACCUUCGGGAGGGCGCUUACCACUUUGUGAUUCAUGACUGGGGGUGAAGUCGUAACAAGGUACCAAGGGCGAA